GGCGUCUCUGCUGAGUCUGCUGCCCCCGCGACCCGGUCCCGGAUAAGCAGAAGACGACGAGUACGAGUACGAGUACGAGAUUUCUGCUGGUAUCUGCUCUCCUUUGCAGGAGGCAAACUCCAUCAACAAGUCUCUCAGUGCCUUGGGCGAUGUGAUCUCAGCUUUGUCUGCAGAGCUGCCACAUGUACCGUACAGGAACAGCAAGCUCACACAGGUUAUGCAGGAUUCUUUGGGUGGAAAUGCCAAAACCCUCAUGAUUGUCAACAUCUCUCCAUCAGAAUACAAUAUUGACGAAACUCUCACAUCUCUCAUUUAUGCAACGAGAGUAAAGGCCAUAACUAACAAUGCUCAGAGGAAUGUGGACAGUAAAGAGAUCGCCCAGCUUAAGGAGGUCAUCAUGAAGCUGAAAUCUGGACAGACAGUGGAAGAGAUGGAUGUUUAAGGGGUGCUGUACUGCACAUUUAGUUUUAUUGAGCAGUCUUGUAAUUUUUUAAUCAAACUUUACUCAUGCAUACCUAAUAGCAUAUGUUUAAAAAUCAUUAAAUAUUUGAUGAAGAUGGAGGGUUUCACAAUGCUGAGAAGCAACAUUUGCUUUCUGGAGAUUGCAAGCUGUUUGUACAUGGAUAUUGAUGCAUUGAUCUAUAGAACAAAGCUCCCACAAUUCAGGCUUCUACGUGUCUAAAGGAUGAUACAAAGAGUUUGCACUUCAUACAUGGCGAAGGACAAUUUGUUGUAUGUCUGAGAAAUUAAAUGCAAAAAGCAGAUGUUCUGUUUAUUUAACAAUCAGAUUUACUACCUUAGACUGAAAGGCUUUUUUUAGGGUUUUCUAUCAAUUUGAUAGAAGAAAGGCUGGAAAAUCUGUAAAGUAAAAUGAUCAUCUUGUAU